GUAAGCGGAGGAAAAGAAACUAACAAGGAUUCCCUCAGUAGCGGCGAGCGAACAGGGAUGAGCCCAGCACCGAACCUCGCGCCCGGUUGAGCGGGUGCCGAGGAAUGUGGUGUUCGGGAGGAUCGUGCGCGCCUGUCCGGUAUCUAUCGUCCAAGUCUCCAUGAACGGGGCGAGCAACCCAUAGAGGGUGUCAGGCCCGUAGCUUAGACGAGCCGAGACCGUGCAUCGGAUCCCUUCCCAAGAGUCGGGUUGCUUGAGCGUGCAGCCCUAAGCGGGAGGUAAACUCCUUCUAAGGCUAAAUAUCGCCACGAGACCGAUAGCGAACAAGUACCGCGAGGGAAAGUUGAAAAGAACUUUGAAGAGAGAGUUCAAGAGUGCGUGAAACCGUUCAGGGGGUUAAACGGGUGGGCCCUCGAAGGUCGAACGAGCCCCCGCUCCCGGCACUUGGUUGCAUGCCCUCUGCUGCGAAGAGACCGACUUGAUUUGGCGGCUCUGUUCGUUGGCGAGGAGCGCAUUAGCCGCGCCAAGGUCCGCAAGUGGGGGGCCUAGUAGGACUCCGCGACCGACUGGGUGUCUGUUAUACGGGGCGUUCGUUAGCGAGUCUAAGUCGGUUAAAAGUUCAUUCUUUUUUUCCGCUGGGCGAGCGCGGCGUCACCCAACAGUACUUGCCCGGUCGUGACCUGUCUCCUCCCGGGUUGGCAGCUCGAUUCAAGUUUGCUCUCCGGAGUUUGCUUGCGUUGGCUGUUCGAACCUCGUGGAGGCCCAGAGCGGAGAGUAGAAGUCGGGUCCCACCCGACCCGUCUUGAAACACGGACCAAGGAGUCUAACAUGUGCGCGAGUCGUCGAGUCUGAUACGAAACUCGCGAGGCACAAUGAAAGUGAAGCGGCCCCGAUGAGGGUGCAUCCGCGAGGGGUGAUCCCGUCUCGAACAGAGCGGGCGCAACCCCUGGGCGUCCGAAUGCUCGCGAGGCGAACCAGUCAAAUGGUGAGUCGAGUCGGCCGGACGAACCCAGAGCGUACACGUUGGGACCCGAAAGAUGGUGACCUAUGCCUGGCCAGGACGAAGCCAGGGGAAACCCUGGUGGAGGUCCGCAGCGAUUCUGACGUGCAAAUCGAUCGUCGGAGUUGGGUAUAGGGGCGAAAGACUAAUCGAACCAUCUAGUAGC
rnacentral:rRNA from 1 species